GGAGCGCCAGCUUUACGUAGACGCACGUGACGUAGACGCAAGUGACGCAGACAGGAAAGAGGCCCAACCGUCAGACUGAGCAGAGCGGGUGUUGCUGGGGACUCUUCUGCUGUUCUUCUUUCACUGUAGCUUGUCUUUGCUGUUUGGAGCUCUUCUGAUGCACGGAGCCCUGCACAAGACCGGGCUCGAUCUCUCUCGGACAGUUUAAAGUGCCAGUUAAACCUGCGGCACCCAAACACAGCCCUGCACACAGAACGGAGAGCUGUCGGGAUGUCUGAAGGAAAGCGAGAUGCACAAGCAUUACCUCCUUUACGCCGACUCGGCAGCGUCUGACAUCCUGAGGUGAGAGGAAGCGAGAGCGGCAGGAAGACGAAGUGAAGAGUGAUGCAGUGGCCGUGGAAGAAAGGGCGAGCACCACAGACGUGUUUCUGCAGCCGACGGCGCGGUCCAGAGGACGCAUCCCACUGUAGUCCACAUGCUCGAUCAAAGCCCCGUGAUCCGCCA